UUCUCGCAAUUCAAUCUGGAAACUAUCCAAAUAUCGGUUUGAUUAGAUAGUAUUCCAUCAAAAUUAUAAUGGAAAAAUAAUUAAAUUGUCGGAAAACAGUUCUUCUACCGUAAAAAAUUAUGAAAUUUGUUGUAUUAAAACCAAGUCGCUUAGUAUGUGCUAGAGCAGGAGUAGAGCAGGAGUAGAGCAUUGUUUUGAACCCUUAAUACUAUUUUGCAUACGAAAGUUUUCUAGUCGCAUUCCUUGAGUUGGCCAUCCUGCAUACGACCUUGUUUGUUGCAAAUAGUGCGCGUUUUAUUGCGGUGUGCGCGCAGGGUAUGCGAUAAUCCUUAUGCGCCGUUGCUGAAUGCGCUGCGUGGUGUGCUCAGCGCAGUUUUGUGCCGAUCGUGGAUUCGGACGUGUUUUUCGCGGGUGUUCAUAUUAGUUUGAGUUUGUAAUUUGGUAAAUUCCGUACAUUUCGAUUGUCCAUCGACUGAAUUUAGUUAUUACUUACGUGUUUAGUGAUUUAUUAGUGUAUAAGAGGGUGUCGAAUAUACACAAUCGUUAAUUUUGAUUUGAGUUUAUUGUGCGUGAUGCAAGAUGACCGUGUACUAUCAACUUGUUUACACUGCACGCUUGCGAUAUACAGGUAGCAUGUACCUGCAACGUCUUGCACCGUAUGUUGUUAUAUUAUUUCGUUUAAUUGCGGUCUAUCUGUGUCCUUGUGUUUGCUAUUUUGUCCCGGGAACAUGGACAAUGUUCUGCGUGGAAUCCGGGAAAGGAUGGUAGUAUCCAUACAUAGUAAAGAUUUGUACGCGCGAGUGACUUCGUGUUGUCGCAGUUGGCUGUACGCAUUUUGCUGCACACGUACUCGUAGUUCAAUUCCGGACAUCGAGUGAGGCACGCGUGUUCAUCGCAACUAGUCCUGUUACUUCAGAUCAUAUUUAAGUAAAUUGGUUUAUAUUCAUUAAGCAAUCAACGGCAUAUACCAGAAUCGGGGGUGACCUGGGUUUUACAAGCGUGAUUGCAUGCUGUUGUGUUUAUCAAUCGUGGAUUAAUUCUCGGUUCACAUGUGCGCGUGUGUCCGUCGGCAUUCAGUUAUCGUUUAACUUGGAUAAAUAAUUAAUUCCAGCAAAUGGACAACUUUGAUGCCCAGACAAGAAGUUUGUGAAUGCACGAAUCGAGUUUGCAUUAUCUACAGGUGAAAUGGAGAUGCGAGUAUUUUAAGGCAAGUUUUUACUACUUCCGAAUUUGCCAGCUUUUGAUAUUUUUCUAUUUAAAUCUUUAUUUUAAAGUCAUUUUUGAAAAGUUGCGGUGGAAAAUGGUCUGUAUCUCGCGUUUUCUUGACUGGAUUUUAAUUCUGUUUGCUUCAGGUGAUAAAAGAAGAGUUCUUUAAUCUUAUGGACUACAUUCAGUUACCCUCUUGGGCCGGGAAAUUCUCUUAAAUCAAUCUCAAACUUCAGCAAUUUUUGUCAUUUUUGAAAAGUUGCGGUGGAAAAUGGUGAUAGAAGAAGAGUUAUUUAAUCUAAUGGACUAUAUUCAGUCACCCUCAAGGGUCGGGAAGUGCCUUUAAAUCACUCUCAAACUUCUGCAAUUUUCGUCAUUUUUGAAAAGUUGCGGUGGAAAACGGCCAGUAUUUCACGUUUUCCUGACUCGAUUUUAAUACUUUUGAGUAUCUGGAAGUAUUAAUCGUAAAUUGUCAUUGUCAAAAUAUUGAGGCCUUGGGAUUCAAGAUUUCCAGUUGAGCUCUGUAGAAAUUUUGCCUAGUGCGCUAGUAGUACAAAAACAGGCGCUGCUUGCUAUGUAAAGAUAUGUACGCGCGAGUCUUGUAUGUAAACAAUGUUUUGUCGCGAUCAGCGAACGUAUCGCGCAAUACUGUGACCUCGUGUUGUCGCAGCUGGCUGUAUGCAUUUUGCUGCACACGCAGUUUAAUUCCGGGCAUCGAGUAAGGCGCGCGUGUUCAUCACAACUAGUCCUGUUACUUCAGAUCAUAUUUAAGUAAAUUGGUUUAUAUUCAUUAAGCAAUCGACGGCAUAUACCAGAAUCGGGGGUGACCAGGGUUUACAAGCGUGAUUGCAUGCUGCUGUGUUUAUCAAUCGUGAAUUAAUUCUCGGUUUAUCUGAGUGCGCGUGUCCGUCGCCAUUCAGUUAUCGUUUCGCACAUAGGAAUAACUUGGAUAUAUAAUUGAUUUCAGCACAUGAACAACUUUGAUGUCCAAAUAAGAAGUUUGUGAAUGUACGAAUGGAGUUUCUAAAAUAUCUAUAGGUGAAGUGUUGGAGAUGCGACUUUAAGGCAAGUUUUUAUUACUUCCGAAUUUUCUAGCUGUCGAUAUUUUUCUAUUUAAAAAAUGUAUGUAUUAUUAUUAUUGUCAAUAGAACACAAUGUAAAAUUAUAA